rnacentral:rRNA from 1 species
UACGAAGGGGGCUAGCGUUGUUCGGAAUUACUGGGCGUAAAGCGCGCGCAGGCGGUUCUUCAAGUCAGUGGUGAAAGCCCGGAGCUCAACUCCGGAACUGCCAUUGAAACUGUGGAACUUGAGGAUGGGAGAGGUGAGUGGAAUUCCCAGUGUAGAGGUGAAAUUCGUAGAUAUUGGGAAGAACACCGGUGGCGAAGGCGGCUCACUGGCUCAUUUCUGACGCUCAGGCGCGACAGCGUGGGGAUCAAACAGG